ACAUCCAGUUUAGUGCCGCUGCCGAAAGUCCACCACAGAGACACAAACUAAUAGAGCAGCUGAACAAAAACCUCCUGAACGCUUCACUAACUGCACAAACACACAUCAACUGAGUCUCCAACAAACACAUCCACUCACAGCACAAACUACUCUCAUUUAUUUCUUCUGCUUUAUGCAGUCUGUGUUAUUACUAAAGCAUGAACCUGAAUUUGUGGCAAAAAUGAACAUUUUGUAUCAUUUGACGUGACUCACAAUCAAACUCAGUUGAUUCAGUGAUUGACAGAGACACGUGUGAUGAUCCUCAUGUCUGUUAAAACAGGAGCAUCCAUGGAUUUGCUGUUAAAUUUAGGAAUUAACAGUCAUGUUUCUAUCCAACUACAGUCAAAAAUAUUCUCAGUCUCACAGGAGCGAGUCAGAAUAAUUUACUAAAGUAGGUCUUGUAGAUGAAUUCACAAUCAAAUUAAUGUGUGAUUUUAACAGUUUUGCUAUUAAAUGAUUGCACGUUAUGAAAAAGACUUCAUUUUACUAGAUUUUUAAAAUAAUUCUUUAUUAACUAAGACUGAACGACUGUCUUCAGGUAAAUGAUCUGGAGUGUGUUUGCAUAUUGAUCAGAUGCUUCAGUGCUCUGAGAGUGUUUAUAGUGCUGUGAGUUUAACACUUCGUCACUGACACACACAACAAUCUUCAUCAACAUGACCUUCAUCAUCAUCUUCAUCUGGACUCUCACAGCGUUUGCUCAAGAGUGUAGAGGACAGAUCACCGUCACUCAGAGUCCCUCAACGACAGCAGCUCGACCAGAAGAAACAGUCAAAAUCAACUGUAAAACCAGCACAGAUGUGUUCAGAUGGAGUGAUGGGGAUGAAGAGCUAGCCUGGUACUUACAGAAAUUUGGUGAAGCUCCGAAACUCCUGAUUUAUUAUGCAAAAAAACUCUACACUUUCACUCCAUCUAGAUUCAGUGGCAGUGGAUCUAACAGUGAUUUUACUCUGACCAUCAGUAGAGUCCAGACUGAAGAUGCUGGACAUUAUUACUGUCAAAGAGUCGUACAAAAACCUCCGUCAGUCAGAGUCACAGAGACUGAACUGAUCCUGCAGCUGCUCAAACACUAUCACUCACUCAGUGUAGAAACACAAAUAUGAUCCUAAUAUCAAUUUAGUUGUAUUUCAUUAGUAUUUUUAAAAUAGAAAUAAUUUUUAACAAUCAGAUUUUUUUCUUUCUUAUAAUACAGUCAUACUGUAAAGUGCAUAACCAGCAUAUUAACGCAGUCGCUGCUUGAAUUGUUUAUUCAUCAUCUUCCACAUAAACCAGAGUAACAAAUUAACCAGAAUUCAGUGCCAACACCUAUAAAACCAUGAUCAAAUGCUCCACCAUCCCAAAAUCAGUCUGGUCUAGUGGAUUCACUUGUUUCCUCAAGGUAUGGAUUACAAAUCCUGCCAAAUGGGCAGAUGAUGUUCUCUCACAAUAACACUAUAAUUAUAGUCAAACGAAAGUACAACAUUAAUAUCAAGUCAGUGUGCGGCCGCUAGUACUGAAGUAAAGCACUUUAAGAAACUUUACUGUUAUUUUUAUGAUAUAAAAUACUAGCCUUGUUUAUUUUGGUGAGCAGAAGACAUUUAAGGGGUCUUAUGUUAUAGCUGAAUUUUUUUUUCUUCAUUUGCAUAUGAGACUUUGAGGAAACUGAAUGAGUCAGAUAAUAUUGUUGUAUUUAAUUAGUUCACUGAGUUAUCACGGUCAUUGAAACCUGAAAAAUAAGAGUGAAUUGCACAUUUGUUAUAUUUGCACUCUUUGUUAUAUUUCAAGCAGCCUGUAUGUACAUAUACAUGUGUUUGCUUUUAAGUUAUUUGGUAAAAUAAUCAGAAUCAGAAUCAGCUUUAUUCGCUAAGUGUGCGCAAACACACAAGGAAUUUGUUGUGGUUUUUAAGAAGCUCUUGGUACAUACAUGCAUACCAACCUGG